CCUACGGGGGGCUGCAGUGAGGAAUAUUGGUCAAUGGGCGCGAGCCUGAACCAGCCAAGUCGCGUGAGGGAAGACGGCCCUACGGGUUGUAAACCUCUUUUGCCGGGGAGCAACGGGCGCCACGUGUGGCGCCCCUGAGAGUACCCGGAGAAAAAGCAUCGACUAACUCCGUGCCAGCAGCCGCGGUAAUACGGGGGAUGCGAGCGUUAUCCGGAUUUAUUGGGUUUAAGGGGUGCGUAGGGGGAGCGUAAAGUCAGUGGUCAAAUUGAGGGGCUCAACCCCUUCCCGCCAUUGAAACUGGCGCUCUUGAGUGGAAGAGAAGUAUGCGGAAUGCGUGGUGUAGCGGUGAAAUGCAUAGAGAUCACGCAGAACCCCGAUUGCGAAGGCAGCAUGCCGGCUUCCAACUGACGCUGAAGCACGAAAGCGUGGGGAUCGAACAGGAUUAGAUACCCGUGUAGUC
rnacentral:rRNA from 1 species